UUGAGACUCCUACCAAUGUUGAAUGGUAUGUGAACUCCAAAUAUUUGGAUGUAGGCAGCAUGGUGAGUUCCCCAAAUAUUUGAAUGUUGGAGAUUCUGGCUUUGGUUAAGAAUCCGCAGAAAUUGGCAAGGGAGCUCCAAGAUCCACCGAAAAGACUCUUGUUUAAUUGUCACAUAUUUAUAUAUAAAUUUGAGCUAAGGUCAGAGAAAUGAUGAACAUAAUUUGAGCACGGGACUUAACAUCAGCGAGGAACCUCGAUGGGUG
rnacentral:lncRNA from 1 species